UGGGUUGUAGCUCAGCGGUAGGGUGCUCACAUAGCAAGUGUGAGGUGCUGGGUUCAAUCCUCAGCACCACAU
rnacentral:tRNA from 1 species